AUCCUUUUGUAGUCACAAGUGUGAUGAUUGGGUUUUCAUGCUCAUGUGUGAGAUGUGCCUCUCUCAAACCUUGUUAUGAUGUCAGCACAUUACCCAUCUGACA
rnacentral:snoRNA from 1 species